rnacentral:rRNA from 1 species
GAUGAACGCUGGCGGCGUGCCUAAUACAUGCAAGUCGAGCGAACGGACGAGAAGCUUGCUUCUCUGAUGUUAGCGGCGGACGGGUGAGUAACACGUGGAUAACCUACCUAUAAGACUGGGAUAACUUCGGGAAACCGGAGCUAAUACCGGAUAAUAUUUUGAACCGCAUGGUUCAAAAGUGAAAGACGGUCUUGCUGUCACUUAUAGAUGGGUCCGCGCUGCAUUAGCUAGUUGGUAAGGUAACGGCUUACCAAGGCAACGAUGCAUAGCCGACCUGAGAGGGUGAUCGGCCACACUGGAACUGAGACACGGUCCAGACUCCUACGGGAGGCAGCAGUAGGGAAUCUUCCGCGAUGGGCGAAAGCCUGACGGAGCAACGCCGCGUGAGUGAUGAAGGUCUUCGGAUCGUAAAACUCUGUUAUUAGGGAAGAACAUAUGUGUAAGUAACUGUGCACAUCUUGACGGUACCUAAUCAGAAAGCCACGGCUAACUACGUG